AAAGAUAGCAUCGGGAAGUCGGCAUAGUAGCUGGUAUAGUUCUUGUAAUAGUAUAGUGUGGACAUGUAAAUUUUAAUGGAUUAGAAUUGUGUUUGGCCCUAGUUUUCUUUACCUUUGUAAUCCCUGUUAACAUGAUCAUUAUGUAAAAGUUUUUAAUUAUGAGUUAUGUUUGAACCAAGCUUGAGGCAUGUGAUGUUAACCAUACU
rnacentral:lncRNA from 1 species